UGAGGAUCAAGCCUUCCAGUUUGUUGGGAAUUUCAGAUGUUUUUCACCUACACCCGUGGAAACCAUGCUACAUUCAGAGAAGCCGAAUUCCCACGAGACAAGAGCACUGGUGUUCCUUGGUAGCCUAUGCUCGGGUACGAAUGAUGAUAGCAGUGAGACUCGGAUACCAAGAUACAGUACCUUCCCAGUAUGGUUCUACCUACCGAAUACGGGUGGCUACCUGAAGAAGAGCAUCCAGCAACAUGGUGCCACACCACCGUCUCUUAUUCUGCACUCCGUGGUAAAACUGCACUCAGAAAGUGUCAGUAAAGCCGUUAUGAUCGGAGGCACGCGCGUGUUGCAGGGGAAUGCCUCAUCUGACGUAUGGUGCUUUGACCUGCACAAGCACUACUGGCAAAAAGCCAGCAUUGGAGAUAGGCACCUGGCGCCUCUACCUAGAGCAAGUACUGUCCUGGGACAAGCAGUAUUUACAGUGACUGAAGACAGUGGUAAUCCAGUUCUAAUAGCAUAUGGUGGUAUGGCUGUGGUUGAUACGUCUACUUUGGAGCUUCUGCCCACUGGAAAUAUUAGUGCUUUGGUCUUCAACAAUUUAUCUACAUGCCAUAGUCAAUGGUGGUCCCUGAGCACAGGCAAACUAGGUCUGCCCACACUUGUUGGACAUUCCGUAACAGUCACCGGAAGCCAUGAUAUUUACGUCUAUGGCGGUGUCAGUGGACAAUUUGACAUGCAGAAAAAGCACAAAUGUGGCGACUUCUUCCGGCUGCACCUCCACCAACUUGGCACAGAACGCGGAACGGCAUCGUGCAGCGCCAUACAACACAGCGCACUGGCAUCAUUCCCACAGAACAGGUACGGACACACUUUGAGUGUCCUUUCAGAGCAUGCCUUCCUGCUGCUUGGUGGCAGUCAAAUGGGUGCUGGCUACCCUUGCUACAAUGCCUGCACUGCUCACUUCCUACAGUUCAACGACAGCAAUCGAAGUGCAGUGGAUGUCCUGCCGUAUUUCAGGCACGUGCCUGUUGCUUUCCACCAAGUCUACGAGAACUAUAUGUUUGGCGGCAUGUCCACAUCAAACAAGGCCAGCCUUGUGACGCUCAAAGAUGCUCCACUGUCAUACAUGUCAGCUUCAACAACUUGCACUGGACGAUUACUCACUCAACACACUUGUCCAAUUGGCUGGGGCAAUGGCGGUGACUGGACCAAGAAGUGUAGCCCAUGUCAGAACGGGUUCUACUCCGACACACUCUCAGACGUUUGUCGCCGCUGUCCUGGGUUCCAAUUGACAAACUUCACAGACAACCAGGAGUCAUGCUUUGCGCAGAAUCCAUGCGCAAACGAUCAUUGUCAUCGAGGCAAAUGCCUAGUGGUGAACGGAUCCGCUGUUUGUUCGUGCCCUGUGGGCUAUGUGCAGUAUGAUAACUGUCAGUUACCACUGAUCUUCAUUGCCGCUGCUGUUGGAUCUGCAGUUGUGUUUGCUGCAGUCUUGCUCACUACUAUCCGUGCAUGCAUCAAGACAAAGAAAGAAUCCCAGAAGAAGGAUAAGGAGUUGCAGUCCAUGGAGCAGCGUCUCAGUGACAUUGAGAAACUCCUGCGCGAACUAGCUCGCAGUCGUAUCAUUGAACGCCAUGAGAUCAACCUGCUUCACCGCAUAGCCAAGACAGGAGCUUGCUUUAUCUGGCUGGCCAAGGUCUUCGACACCAGAGUAGUUGUGAAGCUGCUACGAAACAUCAAGAUGGCAGAGACGAGAAAAGAGAAAUUCUAUCUGGAGGCGGAGGAGCUCCGACGUGUUCGACACCAGAAUGUGAUAAUGUUCCUGGGUGCCGGCACGGAUCCCAAGACGAAUCAGCCGUUCAUUGUGCUGGAGCAUGCUAUGAGAGGUUCACUGCAUGCAAUCCUCCACGAUCAUGACAUCAGUGUUACGCCAGAUGACUCACUGCGCUUUGCCUUGCAGGCAGCACGGGGCAUGAAGUUUCUGCAUGGACUGGACCCUGCCCGCAUCCACUGUAAUCUGAAAACACCAAACCUGCUAGUGACGGAGAAAUGGGUGGUGAAAGUGGCUGAUUUUGGCAUGAUGGGUCUACUGUCCAGAGCAGAUGAGCAAGGUGGAACAUGUCAAGAUCGCAGUGAACUUGUGUCAGGAACUCAGGGAGCACUCUUCCCGAACUCCGAGGAAGAGAGUGAGACUGACGAGAGUCAAGCACUUCUGCUGAUGUCACCGACAAAGUGUAGGAAGCUUAUUGGAGGUGGGGUGUCGAGGCGAUACGUGGAAAGUGCAUGGAGCGCUCCGGAAACACUGACUGACACGAAGUUCAACUGUGCUACAGAUGUUUACAGCUAUGGCAUCGUCCUGUGGGAAAUAUUCAGUCGUCAGACACCAUACCCUGGCACUUCUGAUUUCGAAGAAAUCCGCAGCCAAGUGAUUGCAGGCCGUCGACCUGACCUGCCAGCACGCAUGCCAUACGACUAUCGAACUCUGGUGGAGAAAUGCUGGCAUAAAGACGUACAGGAGAGACCAUCGUUCCAGACCAUUGUGAAAAGGCUGGAGGAUAUGGUCCAGCAGAAGUCCCUCAUGGAGUACUAGCGCUGAAGCCGAGUGCAGCGCAGUACUGACUGGUAAGCUUCACAAGUAUGCAUGUAUAGCAGUGCUGGUAUGUGCUCAGUGCAGCUAAGACUAAGGCAGCAGUACAGCUGAGCCUCACUUAGGGCCUGGCUGCAAGCAACCUAACAUACCGGCAUGCAUGGUGGUUACAUUCACUCUCUUUUUUUACCCAGGACAAUGCCUGGAUUUUACCCAGGACAAUGCCUGGAUUUUACCCUGGACAAUCGGCCUGGAUUUUCUGCAUUUCUGUCAGGACAAUCACUACAUGUUUUCAUGUAUACCCGAUGUAUUGACGUUGUACCAUAUUCAGUCGUCCAAAUUGUUGGCUACACCAUGUAUAUAGUACAGUCAGGCUGCAACAUCAUCUCUGAGUCCAUACUGGCACCCGAUGAUAAGCACAGCGAGCAAGAAGAGAAGAUGAUGCGUGAAGGAGGUGCGUGAAGGAGGAGACUAUCACAACGAGAGAGAGAGAGAGAGAGAGAGAGAGAGAGAGAGAGAGAGAGAGAGAGAGAGAGAGAGAGAGAGAGAGAGAGAGAGAGAGAAAGAGAGUGAAGAGGAUGACAACGAUGACGACGAUCUGUAAACCGAAACUGGCCUCGAAACUUGAGUGUUUGUGUGGAUGUGUGGGCGCGCGCGUGCGUCUAUGUUCGCUUCCCUUUAUGGGCACUUCUUUUGGAGUGGAGUUUAGUGUUGCAUGCAUGAUAUCUGCCAUGUAUUUCUCCUGGCUCUGAACGAAUAUACAUGUAUUGGUUGAAAACAUACAAGCACGGUCUCCAGUAUAAGCGUAUACGUAAUGGGUAUACAUUAGGCCUAGUAUACAUACUUACCCAACCCAGCCAACUCUGUUCCCUUACACACACGCCCAGUUUCCCUUAGUUUUCUCCUGUCACCCUGAUUUUUUUGUUGCCAAUUUCGGCCAGUUUUCUCUCUUUUUUUGCCCGCAAUCCUGGUUUUCGCUUUGCGUCUUCAUUUCGUUGUGGUUUGAAAGACACAACUGGCAACGUUGUAUGUUUUCGCAUGCUUCUACUGCUUCACUUCAUGGAUUCCUCCGACACCAACAGAGAAAUCGGGUGUAUGUGCGGCGCACUGGUCACAAUUCGCAUUUCAAACACCGCAAAAAGUUGUUUCUGAA